rnacentral:rRNA from 1 species
GAUGAACGCUGGCGGCGUGCUUAACACAUGCAAGUCGAACGAAGAUGCCGGAGUGCUUGCACUUUGGCAGACUGAGUGGCGGACGGGUGAGUAACGCGUGGGUAACCUGCCUUAUACAGGGGGAUAACAGUUGGAAACGGCUGCUAAUACCGCAUAAGCGCACAGUACCGCAUGGUACAGUGCGAAAAACUCCGGUGGUGUGAGAUGGACCCGCGUCUGAUUAGCUAGUUGGCAGGGCAACGGCCUACCAAGGCGACGAUCAGUAGCCGACCUGAGAGGGUGACCGGGCCACGAUUGGGACUGAGACACGGCCCAAAACUCCUACGGGAGCAGCAGUGGGGGAAUAUUGCACAAUGGGGGAAACCCUGAUGCAGCGACGCCGCGUGAGCGAAGAAGUAUUU